rnacentral:misc_RNA from 1 species
AACAAUAAUACACAAAUGCGGUUCUAAGUGUUAACACAGGUUAUUCGAAUGUUUAAUCAACCCUUUGAGUGCUAUGGACGCAGAUAUGCAUUUGGAAAGUGAUAGUACGACAAGUGAGGUUAUAAAAACUGAAGAAUUAACUGAUAACACAGCAAAUGAGGAGGCACCAACAAGUUUGGAAAAUAUAUCACAGGAUACUAAUACUACUAGAAACGAUAGUCCCCCAGUUGCAUCAAAGGAUAAAGAAAGAGUUACAGUUGAUAUUUUAUUGAAAGCAACUGGCAAUGCACCUAUCAUGAAACAAAAAAAGUGGUCCGUUAAUCAGGAUUAUCAAAUUGGAAAGGUAUCAGAUUUUCUAAGGAAAUAUCUCAAAUUAGAUCCUUCUGAAAGAUUAUUUCUUUAUGUAAAUCAAACUUUUGCACCGGCACCAGAUCAAACGUUAAAGAAUUUAUAUGAUUGUUAUGGAGCUGAUGGAAAAUUGAUCAUUCAUUAUUGCAAAAGUCCAGCGUGGGGUUAAUCGUAAACUUCCUGUUUGAUAUUUAAACAUUGUGUUGUAUCAUUUUAUUACGGUGACGCACGGCGUUGACUAGACGAUGAUACGGAGUUCGUCGUUUCAAUUACCUUUGCCGGACUACAUUUAGAACUAAGCAAUGAUC